AUGGGAAGCUCGUAUUCAUUGCAUUUAAGGGUAUUUUGCACCAGGCCUCAACCUGGCUUGGCUCAGAGUGUACAAUGUGGUGGCAGGAGAAGCAGCCUGGGGCCUGACGAUCUCACCGUCCUGCCUGCUUCUGAGUCGGAAACAGAGCCUUGUUCUGGGUCUCUCUGUGCUCUGAGUGGGAGCCCGAAUCCUUUUGGAGGGGAACGUCACUCAACAGUCUUCACCAGCCUCUUCAGAAGAUGGAAAGCCUUUGCCUGUCAUGAAACCCCAAGACUCCAGCCCAGCUGCCCGAAUCCACGUAAACAUAUCUGUGGAGGUGAUGACCCACAUGCUCCCUCCCUUUGGCAUGUUCAGUUUUUGGCGACGAGGGGUAACAACUUGGAAUUGCUUUUUCUCCUUUGCCUCAGUGGUGAUAAUGUGUCAUCUAGUGCGUCCCAUGUCACACGUUCUUGUCGGCGAGCUCGGAAAUCCUGUUUGGCCUUGGAAGUGCGUGGAUCACGUGAGGGGAACUGCAUGAUGAUGGAAAGUUCUGGACGUCAGGAAUCAGCUGAAAUGAGUGGGAUUGGCCAUGGGCUCACAAAAGCCGAAUUUCUAUAA
rnacentral:lncRNA from 1 species